rnacentral:tRNA from 1 species
GGAGAGAUGCCGGAGUGGUCGAUCGGGGCGGUCUCGAAAACCGUUGUUCACGUAAGUGAACCCAGGGUUCGAAUCCCUGUCUCUCCG